rnacentral:rRNA from 1 species
GAUGAACGCUGGCGGCGUGCUUAACACAUGCAAGUCGAACGAAGCAUUUAAGACAGAUUACUUCGGUUUGAAGUCUUUUAUGACUGAGUGGCGGACGGGUGAGUAACGCGUGGGUAACCUGCCUCAUACAGGGGGAUAGCAGCUGGAAACGGCUGGUAAUACCGCAUAAGCGCACAGUACCACAUGGUACAGUGUGAAAAACUCCGGUGGUAUGAGAUGGACCCGCGUCGGAUUAGCUGGUUGGCGGGGUAACGGCCCACCAAGGCGACGAUCAGUAGCCGACCUGAGAGGGUGACCGGCCACAUUGGGACUGAGACACGGCCCAGACUCCUACGGGAAGCAGCAGUGGGGAAUAUUGCACAAUGGAGGAAACUCUGAUGCAGCGACGCCGCGUGAGUGAAGAAGUAGUUCGCUAUGUAAAGCUCUAUCAGCAGGGAAGAUAGUGACGGUACCUAACUAAGAAGCUCCGGCUAAAUACGUG